UAUGACCUGGCUCCUAUCUAUGCUGUGAAUGAGCUGAAGCACCUGUGCCUGCAGCAUGAAAUGCAGGUCCCCCGUGAGGGACGUCAGUACGAAAUAUGUACUGAGUAUGUAAAGCUGUAAAUAAUCAUAUGUGGUAUGGGGGAUCAAGAAAAUCAGACGCAAGUGAAUAAAUCAUAAUAGAAGUGAACCACACUUCAUAAACACUUUUAGGAUCAUGUACAUUAUCUUAUCAUUAAUCUGAAUUGGGUUCUUGAAUUCAAACACAUUUGUGGAACGGUAUACAUUCGUUCAUUUCAUUCUUUACAAUUAUCA
rnacentral:lncRNA from 1 species